rnacentral:rRNA from 1 species
GCUCAACCGAGGAAGUGCUUCGAAAACUGGUAAACUUGAGUGCAGAAGAGGAAAGUGGAACUCCAUGUGUAGCGGUGGAAUGCGUAGAUAUAUGGAAGAACACCAGUGGCGAAGGCGGCUUUCUGGUCUGUAACUGACGCUGAGAUUCGAAAGCAUGGGUAGCAAACAGGAUUAGAUACCCUGGUAGUCCAUGCCGUAAACGAUGAGUGCUAAGUGUUGGAGGGUUUCCGCCCUUCAGUGCUGCAGCUAACGCAUUAAGCACUCCGCCUGGGGAGUACGAUUGCAAGAUUGAAACUCAAAGGAAUUGACGGGGGCCCGCACAAGCGGUGGAGCAUGUGGUUUAAUUCGAAGCAACGCGAAGAACCUUACCAGGUCUUGACAUACCAUGAAAAGCUAAGAGAUUAGUCUUUCCCUUCGGGGACAUGGAUACAGGUGGUGCAUGGUUGUCGUCAGCUCGUGUCGUGAGAUGUUGGGUUAAGUCCCGCAACAAGCGCAACCCUUGAUCUUAGUUGCCAGCAUUCAGUUGGGCACUCUAAGGUGACUGCCGGUGACAAACCGGAGGAAGGUGGGGAUGACGUCAAAUCAUCAUGCCCCUUAUGACCUGGGCUACACACGUGCUACAAUGGGCAGAACAAAG